rnacentral:lncRNA from 1 species
CUGAGUAUCCGGGAGGGAAUGCACAACAUUCUUAAUUGCACUUAUGAGGAGAGAACGUUCUCUUAACUUCUACUGGUUCUGGCAGGGUCUGGAAAAGGACUUGUGUCUUUGACCUUAAUUCAAUCAAGCCAGAUGGAGGAGGGAGACAAACAUUUUAAAGAAGCGCUUGGAAAAGAGAAGUUUUAUAGUGUUUUGAAUAUGCUGGUCUCUCAUCCUGGAGAUUCAGGCACCUACUUCUGUGCUUUGAGG